rnacentral:snRNA from 1 species
GUGCACACUUCAUCAGCACAAAUACUAAAAUGGCAAUGGUACAGAGAUUAGCUUGCCCUGUGGAAAGAUGAUAUGCACAUUUAUGAAGUGUUCCAUUUUUUG